rnacentral:rRNA from 1 species
AUUGAACGCUGGCGGCAUGCCUUACACAUGCAAGUCGAACGGUAACAGGUCUUCGGAUGCUGACAAGUGGCGAACGGGUGAGUAAUACAUCGGAACGUGCCCGAGAGUGGGGGAUAACGAGGCGAAAGCUUUGCUAAUACCGCAUACGAUCUCAGGAUGAAAGCAGGGGACCGCAAGGCCUUGCGCUCACGGAGCGGCCGAUGGCAGAUUAGGUAGUUGGUGGGAUAAAAGCUUACCAAGCCGACGAUCUGUAGCUGGUCUGAGAGGACGACCAGCCACACUGGGACUGAGACACGGCCCAGACUCCUACGGGAGGCAGCAGUGGGGAACUUUGGACAAUGGGCGCAAGCCUGAUCCAGCCAUGCCGCGUGCAGGAUGAAGGCCUUCGGGUUGUAAACUGCUUUUGUACGGAACGAAAAGACUCUGGUUAAUACCUGGGGUCCAUGACGGUACCGUAAGAAUAAGCACCGGCUAACUACGUGCCAGCCGCCGCGGUAAAAC